rnacentral:rRNA from 1 species
UACGGAGGGAGCUAGCGUUAUUCGGAAUUACUGGGCGUAAAGCGUACGUAGGCGGCUUUGUAAGUUAGAGGUGAAAGCCUGGAGCUCAACUCCAGAACUGCCUUUAAGACUGCAUCGCUUGAAUCCAGGAGAGGUGAGUGGAAUUCCGAGUGUAGAGGUGAAAUUCGUAGAUAUUCGCAAGAACACCAGUGGCGAAGGCGGCUCACUGGCCCGGUACUGACGCUGAGGUGCGAAAGCGUGGGGAGCAAACAGG